UCGGAUACCCUUUCGGGGUCGCACCGUUCAAAGCGGCCCCUUUCCAGCUCCGC
rnacentral:ncRNA from 1 species